rnacentral:rRNA from 1 species
GAUGAACGCUGGCGGCGUGCCUAAUACAUGCAAGUCGAGCGAAUGGAUUAAGAGCUUGCUCUUAUGAAGUUAGCGGCGGACGGGUGAGUAACACGUGGGUAACCUGCCCAUAAGACUGGGAUAACUCCGGGAAACCGGGGCUAAUACCGGAUAACAUUUUGAACCGCAUGGUUCGAAAUUGAAAGGCGGCUUCGGCUGUCACUUAUGGAUGGACCCGCGUCGCAUUAGCUAGUUGGUGAGGUAACGGCUCACCAAGGCAAAGAAGCGUAGCCGACCUGGGAGGGUGAUCGGCCACACUGGGACUGAGACACGGCCCAGACUCCUACGGGAGGCAGCAGUAGGGAAUCUUCCGCAAUGGACGAAAGUCUGACGGAGCAACGCCGCGUGAGUGAUGAAGGCUUUCGGGUCGUAAAACUCUGUUGUUAGGGAAGAACAAGUGCUAGUUGAAUAAGCUGGCACCUUGACGGUACCUAACCAGAAAGCCACGGCUAACUACGUGCCAGCCGCCGCGGUAA